rnacentral:rRNA from 1 species
GACGAACGCUGGCGGCGUGCCUAAUACAUGCAAGUCGAACGCAUAGUCGUUCACCGUAGCUUGCUACACCGAGAGAAAAUGGGGGGCGAAAGGGUGAGUAACACGAGGGUAACCUGCCCAACAGCGGGGGAUAACACUAGGAAACAGGGGCUAAUACAGCAUAAUUCCAUUUACAGCAGGGUAGAAGGGUGAAGGGCGCUUUUGCGGAAGGGAUGGAUGGACCCGCGGUGCAUGUGAAGGUUGGGGGGGUCACGGCCUACCAAGGCUGCGAUGCAUAGCCGACCGUGGGAGGGUGUCGGCCCCACUGGGACCUAGACACCGCCCCGACUCCUUCGGGGGGCAGCCGUAGGGGAUCUUCGGCAAUGGGCGCAAGUCUUACCGAGCCACGCCGCGUGAGUGGAGGAGGUUUUCGGGUCGUAAAACUCUGUUGUUAGAGAAGAACAAGGAUGGUAGUGGACAGUUCAUCCCUUGACGGUAUCUAACCAGAAAGCCACGGCUAACUACGUG